UGGACAAAUUAUUGUAUUCGACUGUAUUCACGACGUGAAAUAGGGGAUUACACUGUUUUUAAUAACGAAAAGUGAAUCAAUUAACACAAUAGACUCAU
rnacentral:pre_miRNA from 1 species